UGUAGCUCAGUGGUAGAACACUUGCCUAGCAUGCAUGAGGUUCUAGGUUUGAUUCCUAGCA
rnacentral:tRNA from 1 species